CGCUGGUGGAAGACGGAGGAAUGCUUGAGGGAACGUUUAUUGCAUGCUGAAUCCAGAGCUGGAAACCAGGUUUGAGCCAAUCUAGGCACGGGCUCCCUGAGCAGGGCACCCUCUGUCUCUCCACCUGAUGGGUUGAUUAGACUCACAGAGAAAGGACCGUCUUACACCUGGAAAAUCAAAAGCCAGGGGCAGCCUGAAGACACGCUGGUCAUGCCAGUACUCUAGGGGCUAGGAUUGCUGUCUCAUGACGGUGCUUGGCCCGAGAAAGCACAUGGAGAGUUUUUCGUCAAGAAGUGUUACCUCUUUUAUGGAGAUGCUCACAGACUGGGCAUUUCACUGUCCCCUGUCCCUGAGACACAGAUUCUUUUUCUGAAAUCUGGUCAAAAUAAACUGGCGAUGUUGCUGCAGCCAAGCUGGCUUACUCUGGGCAGUGCCUUUUUUCUCACGAAGAUCUGGCCUGACGGGACUCCCCCUCCCCACCUCCAACCUGAUCCUGCUGCUGGCUGUCCGCAAAGAACCUCCGACUGGCUUGCUGAAAUAAAUCAAGUGCUUAAUCCCGGUC
rnacentral:lncRNA from 1 species